ACCAGUUUGAUAUUUCAUUCUCUCUCUACCGCAAUAUCAUUUUAUAGCAGGUGGUGGAGAUAAUAUUAAAGCUUUACCACCAUUUUGUACAUGUUUAAAGGAAGCCCUAGGUGUCUGUAAAUUAGAGUAUGUGAUAGUGCCGCCCAUUCUUGUAUAUUAGGUUACCUUUAUCAUUUCUGAUGUAUUAACUUUACUAUUAUGUAUGGUCAAUUUUUUAGUUCUUUGAAUCCUCCUCCUUCCUCACAUAUGUAAAGAUGUUGUAGCAACUCCGCAAAAUGUAAAAGUUGUGACUUGUGAGCGA
rnacentral:misc_RNA from 1 species